rnacentral:rRNA from 1 species
GGUAAAAGCUCAAAUUUGAAAUCUGGUACUUUCAGUGCCCGAGUUGUAAUUUGUAGAAUUUGUCUUUGAUUAGGUCCUUGUCUAUGUUCCUUGGAACAGGACGUCAUAGAGGGUGAGAAUCCCGUUUGGCGAGGAUACCUUUUCUCUGUAAGACUUUUUCGAAGAGUCGAGUUGUUUGGGAAUGCAGCUCAAAGUGGGUGGUAAAUUCCAUCUAAAGCUAAAUAUUGGCGAGAGACCGAUAGCGAACAAGUACAGUGAUGGAAAGAUGAAAAGAACUUUGAAAAGAGAGUGAAAAAGUACGUGAAAUUGUUGAAAGGGAAGGGCAUUUGAUCAGACAUGGUGUUUUUUGCAUGCACUCGCCUCUCGUGGGCUUGGGCCUCUCAAAAAUUUCACUGGGCCAACAUCAAUUCUGGCAGCAGGAUAAAUCAUUAAGAAUGUAGCUA